GGGUCAGUGAUGAGAACGGAUUGUCUCGAAGAGAAAUGAUGACCAAAGUAACGUCCAGUGUGAGUGAUCUGAGGCCC